ACGAACGCUGGCGGCAGGCCCAACACAUGCAAUCGAGCGAGGACUUCGGUUCUAGCGGCGGACGGGUGAGUACCGCGUGGGAAUGUGCCCUUCUCUACGGAAUAGCCCUGGGAAACUGGGAGUAAUACCGUAUACGCCCUAUUGGGGAAAGAUUUAUCGGAGAAGGAUCAGCCCGCGUUGGAUUAGGUAGUUGGUGGGGUAAUGGCCUACCAAGCCGACGAUCCAUAGCUGGUUUGAGAGGAUGAUCAGCCACACUGGGACUGAGACACGGCCCAGACUCCUACGGGAGGCAGCAGUGGGGAAUCUUAGACAAUGGGGGCAACCCUGAUCUAGCCAUGCCGCGUGAGUGAUGAAGGCCUUAGGGUUGUAAAGCUCUUUCAGCUGGGAAGAUAAUGACGGUACCAGCAGAAGAAGCCCCGGCUAACUCCGUG
rnacentral:rRNA from 1 species